AGAAGAAACGAAAAUAAACUCAAAAACAUAGACUGAUUUUAUUCAUAGAAUGAGACUACAUAUUUAUAGUGUUUGUAGUCAAAGACUAAUAAAGAAAAUACACGGAAAAUAAUGCAUAGAAAAUACAAAUUUGACAAGAUCUGAAUUAAUGAGUCAAAGGCUGAGUCUUCCAUGCAGAUUAAUCAAAGAUGACCCUUCAGAUAAUGUCCAGGUUCAACCGAACCAGAUGGAUGCACGAGGUAAAGAUAAAGACGCUUGCGGGACUGUCCAGAUGGUCCGCCGGAUAAGAAUGCAUGUCCGUCUUCGGCUUCUUCACGACCCAAGCUAAGUCUGGCUCAACCGUGGGUCUUAGAAUGUCGAGUUGGUCGGGGAAGACGGGCUGUGGUUCUGUCGAUUCAGUCAUCUGGACGAGGUUCCAGCCAAAGCUCCAAUCAAAACGCACGCGGGAUGGCUCGGUCAGUCUGAUCGGUACAGUUGGUUGAACGAACCUCGGUCAAAUUGUUCAGAACGUCCUGAUCUCCAUGCUGGUUGGCUCUAAUGGACUGAUCCACGAACCGGGGCACAUCAAUAUAUAUAAUUAACUCCGGCCCUGGUGACGUUAGGUUCCUCCUUCACUAUCGGCAAUAUCCUAUCUCCCUACCAGAAAGGCCAAAAGAAUGAACUUUCAACCGACCGCGGCCCACAAUCCUUCGGGUCACCGCGCGACGGCCCACAGUCCUUCGGGUCACUGCCACAUUACACCGUCGUGUAAUCACUCAGCCAUAGGCCAUAACCCCGUCUAUCUGAGUCUUCCCGAUCCAGCGAAUAAGGGGUUUCCUUAAAUCCGCCGGGUACGAGGUCUGAAGGAACACUAACUCACCCCAAUAUGCCUUGCAUUGUGGGUUACACAAAUGAUGUCGGCCAAUAUAUGACUAAUACUAAACCCGGUAAAAUAACACAAGGUUCAUAGUAAUAGUCACCACACAAUCAACACAUUCCACCUCAAACACGCCUAGCAUUGUGGGUUACACAAAUGCUAUAUGGCCAAUAUAUGAUUAAUACUAAACCCGGUAAAAAUAACACAAGGUUCCUAGUAUUAAUCGUAAAUUAAGACAAUCAAUCAUAUUCCAGAAUCUAGCAUAAAGACUAAUUCCAGAAUACCUAACUAUCCACAACUUAGCGAUAUCAUCUAAGCAUUCCGCAUUCGCUAACCAACCAAUCAACUUAACCAUUAGCAUGCUACUACGAUUCUUAAGUAAUAACAAGCAUGCUAUUAACAUAACCUCAAUUAUUAACCAAUCAAACCGUUACUCAGUUAUACCCGGCCUCCUGCCAUGAUCCAACUUCCAAGUAACGGGAUCCUGCAUGAAAACAACUCAACAAUCAAUUGAUUAUAACUCACAGUUUUUGGUUGACCGUGGCCUUGACCCCAAACCCGACUUCUACGAUCCGAACCCUUUCUCGACCUUCUCAAGUAGACCCACGUCCAGACUGGUCUUGAACUGGUCUCCACUGGAUCUUAUCUCUCUUAACUUGAACAGAACCAUCUCCCGGUUCUGACUCAAAAUCGGCAGAGUAAUUGUUCUCGAAAACUGCCUAAAUCUCUCGAAAACUAUCAAAACUCGAUCUUUCUUUCUUUGCUUUCUCUCUCAUGUUUUGAACUGACUUUGAUGUGUUCUGGAUGUGUUGAAAUGAGAGGGGGUCGUGGGCUAUUUAUAGACAUAAGCUGCCAAUUAGAUUCAAGCCGUGUGGCAGCCCAUGUGUCGCUUCGCAUGGCUCCGGACGCAUGCGCGGCGACACCUCGUACUCCACAUGGCUGGCUGCAUUUCUCAGUCUCAUGCAGGAUGACACCACGCCAUCUACCUGUCUGGAUGCAUGGCCUGGCUCCAUGCAAGGAGACAGCACGUCCUCCACAUGUCUGGCCGCAUGGCUUGGUCGCAUGCAUCGCGACACCUCGUGCUUGGUCGAUCCACCUCGUGCUCCACAUGUCUACUUGCAUGUACAUGUUUCAUGUACUGCAGCACCUCAUGCUUCCCUUGACACACACACUGCCAGGAGCUUGCCACCACGUUCUGAACACACACACAUCAAGCCACCUCGUGCUUCUCGAUCCAUUCGUCUGAUUUCGACCUUUCCACUGAAUUUUUGUCCCGCGAUCAGUCUCAAAUAUUUUUCUCCCCCGUUAUGAUGCACUGAAUAUUUUUAAUAAACUCUACUUGGACUCUGAUCUUGAGGGAAAAUAUUUCCCGAGCGUCCGGCUUUCCAAAAAAAAUUCAUAAUACCGAAAUUAGGGUUUUUCACCCAAUUUCGGGUCUUCCCGUUGUGCUUCCAAAACUGUCAUGCUUCAAACGUCAUUUGGAUCAAUCUAAUACAUUGUCUAACCAUUGUCCAGUGGCAUACUUGACUCAUGGUUCAGACAAGAACGAUUCGAUCUUCCGCGACUCGACCACCCAAAAGAUACUCGACCAAUUUUUUUAAUGGGUUUCUACACCACCCGUACCAUACUAAUCAAGGACAUAGAGGAAAUGACACCAUGAACCGCAAGCAGCACAUGCACCACACAACCUCCGACAAGGCGAGCUGCGGUGUAAAGCGUAACCAGAACCCGGGAUUUCAGUACCUGCAAAAAAGAAGGAAAGAGAGUAUCCUGCCAAGACGAUCAACGGCAGUCCGAGCACUGGGAUGGCGACUCUCUAAUCAAAGCUCCGCAUCGACAAGAGACUCCAAAAGACUCGAACAGAGACCCCUGCCAACGCCAUGACCUGAAGCUAGAGAACCUAGCUCGGUCCUCUUUGCGCUACUAAAACUACACCUUGCUGGGGGAGCAAAGAGUAAUCAAAUAGCAGUACCAAAAUGUUCAGUAGCCAUUCGCGAGAUGGAGUGAACAACAGCCGGACCAGAAGUUGUGGGACCAGCAAGAAAAGAGCAUCAACAGAGGCCAAACCGUCAUAUCCAUAGACGAUAGGACAAGCUCAAACCCUCUAAAGAUGCACGCGCAGAACCACAGAGAGACCGUGACCAAACGACCACCAAGACUCCUUGUGAACGCGCCGACGAUGAACCACCGUUGUCUCCACUGAGCAGAAGUACAGUCUGGAACCAAGGCGAGACACCAAGCCUUAAUUCAAGAAAGUCAAACACACACAACUGCACAAAAAGCUUCGAAGAAGAAAAACAAUGAAGAACAAGGGGAGAGAGAGCAGGAGAACCACCACCACGCGUCAUCACCGCCACGGCAGAUUUCAGAUCUGCAAAAGGAAAAAAGAGAUCCGUCACUUCCGCACGCUAAAACGCCGACUUCACACCUCGAAGACCUCGCCGCCUCGUCGUUGCUCCAGAGAUUCACCACCUACCACCAGAUCUAGUUACCCUCGAGGUCGAUUUAGGUCUCCGGCUAGCAACAUUUCCCAAAAACUCAAACAUAGCGACGGCGAAAGAGAGAUUCAAGGAAGAGAAGGAAAAGGAAGAUAGAGGAGAGGAGAGAAGGGGCUGCCGGCGCGGCGUCUAAAUGCCACCAGCCAGAGGCAAUCGACAAAAUUUCUUUUCUGUGGCUAGAGAGGAAGAUAAGGUAGAGAGAAGCCGAUAUGUUUCGAGUAGUGGUUAAUUUUUGUUAGAGUUUGAUAGUUUAUGUAGUUUGUUUAAAAUAAAAUAUUAAUUUAAAAUAAAAAUAGCAUGAUAACAAAGUUCAGAAAAGAAAUGAUACGAAGAGAAUUUGUUGAGGUUGGAAUUAAAAGGGGAAAUUGGCACAAAUACCAUAAUCAUAUUACCAUUUUUUAUACUCGUAGGGUUAACUAAUCAAGACUUAGAGUUUAAAGUCGAGAGGUGGAGUGAAGUAUGAUUUUUGGAAUGUGAAAUUUAAGACUAUAAUAAAUAUAUAAAUAAUAUUCAAAAAAUAUAAUUUUUUUUUUAAAAAUAGUUUCAAACAUAAUUUUUUUUUUAAAACAAAAUUUCAAAAAAAUAAAAUUACAAAAAGUUCGAAUUUAAAAAGUAUAAUUUGAAAACAUUUAUUUUUAUUUAUUAUUUUAUUUAUUUAAAUAAUUAUAUAUUAUAUAUAUAUAGAGAAUAAAGAUAUAAGAGUCUUUACCUUUAAUUUUAAUGAAAAAGAUAUUUUUUAAAAUGUCUAAUAAAGAUAAAUAAUGGUACUUGUAAACAUAAAAAUUUUCUGGUAUAGCUGACGGAAAAAAAAAAAGACGAACGCAAUACAAUUUUGGGCCCAAAAUAGUGGCCGUUACAAUAACAACAAAAGUCUACAAUUUAGCCCAAUAUUAAUUUCUUCAUUGACACAUGGCUACACAGAAAGCCCUAAUCCACGACAAGCCAUCACUAUAUAACAAUUACACACGCUAACAAUUCGUCAAACAGUUGUUCAGCCGAUUUUCUAGAUUUCUCUUUGUUUUGAUUGAUCUCAGUUCGCUUUCUGGUUGAUCGCUAAUUCGAUUUUAGUUUUUGAAUGGCUUCAUCAGAUAGUCGAUGUGGAUAUGUCCGUUCCCAUAUGAUUCGUUCCCUUGAAGCAAUAUUAAUCUGCUCUCGUUAUUCUAUAUUUCUCCGUGAUCAAUUCACAGCAUCAUACUGUUAGUUCUAGUUUGAUGCCGAUUCGGAAUCAUGACUUGGGCGACUACAUAUCUUGUUUAUUUUUCUCCGUUUUGUUUAUGGGUAAGAACAGUGAUGAGUCAAUUUACAGACCUGUAAUGAUAGCGGUAAUGAUCGCUUUUCAUUAUGAACAUCUAAGGGACUGAGUUCUUUGUUUUCAUUUAGUGGUGGCUUUACAUGUUUUAAAGAUUCAUGCUUUGAAUUAUAUAUAUGUGAAGCUUUAUGUGAAUGUAUUAGCCUACAUUAAAUUUAUGACGUCGGGGAACAAUAUUCUCUUUUGUUUUACUCUGUUUUUGUUUUUAUUGGAUUAAAUGAGAAACACUUUGCCAAGUUGUUGAAUGCUCAGGAAAUUUCUGAGUAUAAUGAUUCACUUAAAUAAGAAGAUCUGAUGUUAUUCUUUAUAAUUUUUCUGAUAUCAGAAUUGUUUUUGAUGUGGUUUUUUGUAAUAUGAAGCCGGUGAUGAUUGGAUAUAAUGGUUGCUGAAAUUUCAUUGUUGAAAAACAUCUAACAUGACUAGGACGGUCUGAGGCAGAAAGUGAGCCCUCUCACGGCAUAGAUGGUCGAGACCGACAACCGGAGAGGUGAAGCAAAUCUCACCGUAAAUCGCCUAGAGAAAGAAAUGGAAAGAGGAGAGAGAAACAGAUCUACGAUGUAUUACACCUGUGCUAUAUAACUUAGGCGAUGUGAAGGAAAAACGCCAUGUUGACUCCUAGAAUAGAUUUCUAGCCAAGUCUAGACUUCUUGAUCCAAACUUCAAGAAGCCGCGGCACAAUGGUGAAUCUGAGCUUUAUUCACAAGACCGAGUUCAAGGUGUAGGUAUUCACCAACCAUAAAGUAUAUCUUUGCCCAAAGGGACCAGGCAAACUUGAGAAGAAGGAUGUUGAAGAAGAAGGGAUCCAUGAGAUCAAACCAGCCGGAAGGAUGUUGAAGAAGAAGGGAUCCAUGAGAUCAAAUCAGCCGGAAGGCACUUAAAAGCUCUAAACAGCCGAUGUCAAAUAAAUCACAAAAGAAGAGAGUGGCAUCUGUUAGAGAUUUAAAGCUGCAGCAUCUACAAUUUGGAGUCAAAAAAAUAUUCCGUUAGGAAGAUAUGACGUCUUUCUUUGCUUGGAACAUACGUGGGUUCAAUAUGCCACGUAAACACGAGGUAUUGCAGAAAUAGAUUCAGUUUGAAAAGCCAACCUUUGGAUGCCUUUUAGAGACGCAAGUUCAGCAGGAAAACUAUGCGCAUCAUCGGCUGGGGAUAAUCUGGUUUUGCUGGUCUGAUCAGGUGAUUGUCACUCAGCUCAGUAAAAGUAGUCAGAUUAUUUCAUGUGUUGUUCAGAAUCCUGUUACUGGAGAACAAUUCAUUUUUUCAGCAAUCUACGCAUCUAACUUCACUGCGGAUAGGCAAACUUUAUGGGCAGAAAUUCGUGCAACCCAAGGGGCUUAUAGUCACCUAAACAUGCCAUGGAUCUUGAUUGGUGAUUACAAUGUCACCCUCUCAUCUCAGGAGCACUCUCGAGCUGCAGAUUAUUUACCUGACCAAACAGAAAUGAGGCAUUUUCUGGAUCUAGUUUCGGAUUGUGGCUUCUACGAUCUAUCAGCAACAUAGGCACUUUUCACUUGGUGGAACAAGCAGGAGGGGGACCCAAUUGGGAAAAAAAUGGAUUGGGCGUUGGUUAAUGGAGAUUGGUUGAGGUGUUUUCCUCAUUCCCACGCUCAUUUUGAAGCAGGCGGUAUCUCUGACCAUGCGAGGUGUUAUGUGCGAAUUGCUGAGCGACCCGCUGGAAACAAAAAACCAUUCAGGUUUUUCAACUAUAUCGCAGAACAUGAUCAGUUUCUCCCAACGGUGCAACGGGUUGGGGAUCCAAGUCGUCCUCUGUUCCAUUCUCGUACUGUCCUCCAGAUGUUUCACACGAAGCUGAAACUUCUGAAGUUUCAUCUUCGUGCCUUGAACCGUACCCAGUACGGAGAUAUCUCUACUAAGACUCGGGAAGCGUAUGCAAGUUUAUGUGAUAAGCACAACGAGGUACUUCUGAAUCCUUCUGAUGAGUCCUUUAGAGCUGCAGCUGGGGCAUUGGAUCGAUGGAACCACUUAGUAGCAAUCGAGGAGAAGUUCUAUAAGCAAAAAUAUUGUGUUAAGUGGUUGGAAGUGGGACAUGAAUACUUGUUUCUUUCAUCAAGAAGUUCAGUCUAGAAAUUCCAAGAAUGCAAUAAAGUCUCUACUCUCUAGUUCCAGUGAUGUUCUCACAGAUGCAUCAGAUAUUAAGGAGGCUGUGGAACACUUUCAGCGCUUCCUAGAGACUUAGCCAGAUGCCCAGUCGGCUUCGUUGGAAGAAAUUCAAGCUCUAUUGAGGUAUUGAUACUCAGACAGUAAAGCCAGGGCUCUGGUCUCUCCUAUCACAGUCACCGAAAUUGUAGAAGCUCUUCGGGCUCUUCCUAAUGGCAAGGUCUCAGGACCAAUGGUUUCACAAAGGAGUUUUUUGUAGUUGCUUGGCCAGUAGUUGGAGCUGAUUUUGUCACAGCAGUACAGUCUUUCUUCCUCUUUGGAUUCAUGCUUGCUGGGGUUAAUGCUACUAUCGUCUCUUUCAUUCCUAAAACAGAAACAGCUCAAACGAUGUGAGAUUACUGUCCCAUAGCAUGCUGCAACCUGCUGUAUAAGGUCAUCUCAAAGGUCCUAGCUCGCCGUCUAAAGACAAUCCUUUCUGAUGCUAUUGAAGCGAACCAGUCUGCUUUCAUUAAGGAUCGGCUUCUUCUUGAAAAUGUUAUCCUUGCAUCUGAAUUUGUUAAUGGGUACCACAAAAGCAACAUCUCUAGUAGAAGCACAAUCAAGUUUGACAUCUCAAAGGCCUUUGAUACAGUUAAGUGGUCAUUCAUAGUACUGGUGUUGGAAGCAAUGGGUCUGCCUUAACAGUUCAUUCACUGGAUUGGUAUAUGUAUUUCCACUGCAUCCUUCUCUUUCUCCGUCAAUGGUGAGCUUGAGGGUUUCUUCGCCAGUGCAAGAGGCAUGGCUGUUCUCUCUUGCCCUAUCUCUAUGUGAUUCUUAAUAAUGUACUCUCUUAGCUUCUCAAUGCGGCUGCUAGUAGAGGUAACUUUUGAUAUCACCCUUCGUGUACGGAGAUACAACUUACACACCUUUGUUUUGCGGAUGAUCUCCUUGCGUUUACGGAUGGGCCAGAAAAUUCGCUUGAGGGUGUUUUGAAUGUGAUGGAUGGAUUUGGCCAAAUGUCUGGACUUUUUAUCAAUAAUGCUAAGUCUUCUAUCUAUGAGGAUGGUAAGGGCACAUUACUUAUUCAAGGGUCUGCAGCAGAAGUGGGGAUGGAAGUUGGAGUCUUGCCGAUUCGGUAUCUUGGUCUACCGCUUACCAACCAAGCUCUCACUAAGGUGGAUUACGAACCAUUGCUUGACAAAAUUCGCAAGACCUUGCUGGGUUGGACGAAUAAGACACUUAUGCUGGCCGUCUGCAGCUGCUUCAGUCAGUCAUUCUUAGUAUGGUUAAUUUUUGGUCCUCUACUUUCAUUUUGCCUAUGGAAUGUUUGGAUGUAAUAGCUUGAUUGUGCAAUGCUUUCUUGUGGUCUAGAUCGCCGAACAAUAGCCAUAAAGUUAAGGUAUCAUGGGAUGGUAUGUGCUAUCCCAAAGAAGAAUGAGGCUUAGGCUUUCGAAGAUUUAAGGAUACAAAUAGGGUUUUUGGGCGUCAUUUGA